rnacentral:rRNA from 1 species
GGGGGGGGGGGGGGGGGGGGGGGGGGGGGGCGGGGCGGGGGGAGGGGGGCUGGGUGGGGGGGGGGCUCGAGUGGCGAACGGGUGAGUAACACGUGAGGAACCUGCCCUUGACUGUGGGAGAACUUCAUGAAACUGGGGCUAAUACCGGGUCGGAGCUCCUGCUGCAUUGUGGGUCUUGGACAGUUUCGGCGGUGGGGGAUGGACUCGCUGCUUCUCAGCUUGUUGGUGGUGUAGUGGCUUACCAAGGCUUUGACGGGUAGCCGGCCUGCGAGGGUCACCGGCGACAUUGGGACUGAGAUACGGCCCAGAUUCCUACGGGAGGCAGCAGUGGGGAAUAUUGCACAAUGGGCGGAAGCCUGAUGCAGCAACGCCGCGUGCGGGAUGACGGCCUUCGGGUUGUAAACCGCUUUCGCCUGUGACGAAGCGUGAGUGACGGUAAUGGGUAAAGAAGCACCGGCUAACUACGUG